rnacentral:rRNA from 1 species
UACGAAGGGGGCUAGCGUUGCUCGGAAUCAUUGGGCGUAAAGCGUACCGAUAGGUUGUUUAUUAAGUCUUGGGUAAAAGCCGGAAGCUCAACUUCCGCGUUUGCUUAAGAUACUAAUAGACUAGAGGGGCAAAGAGGUGCUUGGAACGAACGGUGUAGUAGUGAAAUGCGUUGAUAUCGUUCGGAACACCGAAAGCGAAGGCAGAGCACUGGGUGCCACCUGACACUGCUAGGACGAAAGCGUGGGGAGCGAAUGGG